AGGGGUGUUGAGGGAUGUUGACCCAUGAGAGAACAUAUAAAAACCUUCAGGGAUUGUCGAAAAGUACGAUCGUGAAG
rnacentral:ribozyme from 1 species